GAUGAACGCUGGCGGCGUGCUUAACACAUGCAAGUCGAACGGAAAGGCCGAAGCUUUCUUCGGUACUCGAGUGGCGAACGGGUGAGUAACACGUGGGUGAUCUGCCCUGUACUUCGGGAUAAGCUUGGGAAACUGGGUCUAAUACCGGAUAUGACGAUCUCUUGGAUGGGGGUGUGGAAAGCUUUUGCGGUGUUGGGUGAGCUCUCGGCGUAUCAGCGUGUUUGGGGGGUGAUGGGGUAUCCAGGCGUCGACGGGUAGCGGGGCUGAGAGGGUGUACGGGGACACUGGGAGACAGAGACGGGCCAGAGUCCUACGGGGGGGAGAACUGGGGAAUAUUGCACACUAGGGGCAAGCCUGAUGCAGAGAAGCCGCGUGGGGGAUAACGGGGUUCGGGUUGUAAACUCCUUUCGCACUCGUCGCAGACUUUUGGUGACGGUAGGUUGAGAAGAAGCACCGGCUAACUACGUG
rnacentral:rRNA from 1 species